GGAAUAGCUCAGUUGGGAGAGGGUUAGGCUAUAGAUCGAAAGGUGCCUGGUUCGAUCCCGGAAUUAACU
rnacentral:tRNA from 1 species